CUAAUACAUGCAAGUCGAGCGGACAGAUGGGAGCUUGCUCCCUGAUGUUAGCGGCGGACGGGUGAGUAACACGUGGGUAACCUGCCUGUAAGACUGGGAUAACCCCGGGAAACCGGGGCUAAUACCGGAUGGUUGCCUGAACCGCAUGGUUCAGACAUAAAAGGUGGCUUCGGCUAUAACUUACAGAUGGACCCGCGGCGCAUUAGCUAGUUGGUGAGAAAACGGCUCACCAAGGCGACGUUUCGUAGCCGACCUGAGAGGGUGAUCGGCCACACUGGGACUGAGACACGGCCCAGACUCCUACGGGAGGCAGCAGUAGGGAAUCUUCCGCAAUGGACGAAAGUCUGACGGAGCAACGCCGGGUGAGUGAUGAAGGUUUUCGGAUCGUAAAGCUCUGUUG
rnacentral:rRNA from 1 species